rnacentral:tRNA from 1 species
GCCCAGGUGGCGAAAUCGGCAGACGCAAGGGACUUAAAAUCCCUCGGGGGAAACUCCAUAUCGGUUCAAGUCCGAUCCUGGGCACCA